rnacentral:rRNA from 1 species
GAGUUUGAUCCUGGCUCAGGAUGAACGCUAGCGGCAGGCCUAACACAUGCAAGUCGAGGGGUAACAGGAAGUGCUUGCACUACGCUGACGACCGGCGCACGGGUGAGUACCGCGUAUACAAUCUGCCUCAUACUAGGGGAUAGCCCGAAGAAAUUUGGAUUAAUACCCUAUAGUAUCUUUUUAAGGCAUCUUAUUAAGAUUAAAGGUUACGGUAUGAGAUGAGUAUGCGUUCUAUUAGCUAGUAGGUGUGGUAACGGCACACCUAGGCUACGAUAGAUAGGGGCUCUGAGAGGGGGAUCCCCCACACUGGUACUGAGACACGGACCAGACUCCUACGGGAGGCAGCAGUAAGGAAUAUUGGACAAUGGGCGAAAGCCUGAUCCAGCCAUGCCGCGUGCAGGAUGACGGCCCUAUGGGUUGUAAACUGCUUUUAUAUAGGAAGAAAAACUUUCUCGUGAGAAAGCUUGACGGUACUAUAAGAAUAAGGAUCGGCUAACUCCGUGCCAGCAGCCGCGGUAAUACGGAGGAUCCAAGCGUUAUCCGGAAUCAUUGGGUUUAAAGGGUCCGUAGGUGGACAAAUAAGUCAGAGGUGAAAUCCUGCAGCUCAACUGUAGAACUGCCUUUGAUACUGUUUGUCUUGAGUUAUUAUGCAGUGGUUAGAAUGUGUAGUGUAGCGGUGAAAUGCAUAGAUAUUACACAGAAUACCGAUUGCGAAGGCAGAUCACUAAUAAUUAACUGACACUGAGGGACGAAAGCGUGGGUAGCGAACAGGAUUAGAUACCCUGGUAGUCCACGCCGUAAACGAUGGUCACUAGCUGUUUGGACUUCGGUCUGAGUGGCUAAGCGAAAGUGAUAAGUGACCCACCUGGGGAGUACGUUCGCAAGAUUGAAACUCAAAGGAAUUGACGGGGGCCCGCACAAGCGGUGGAGCAUGUGGUUUAAUUCGAUGAUACGCGAGGAACCUUACCUAGGUUUAAAUGUAGAUUGACGUACUGGGAAACUAGUAUUUCUUCGGACAAUCUACAAGGUGCUGCAUGGUUGUCGUCAGCUCGUGCCGUGAGGUGUCGGGUUAAGUCCCAUAACGAGCGCAACCCCUAUCAUUAGUUGCUAACAUUUAGUUGAGGACUCUAAUGAAACUGCCCGCGUAAGCGGUGAGGAAGGUGGGGAUGACGUCAAAUCAUCACGGCCCUUACAUCUAGGGCUACACACGUGCUACAAUGGUAACUACAGAGGGAAGCAAGCUGGUGACAGUGAGCAAAUCCUUAAAAGUUAUCCCAGUUCGGAUUGAAGUCUGCAACUCGACUUCAUGAAGUUGGAAUCGCUAGUAAUCGGAUAUCAGCCAUGAUCCGGUGAAUACGUUCCCGGGCCUUGUACACACCGCCCGUC